UGGCUAUAUCACAUUGAAACACUGGCUCUCAUCUGAUCACCAGUGUUAAGCAAUGUCAGACCUGGUCAGUACGUAGAUGGGUGACUGCUUUGGAAUACCAGUGCUGUAA